AUGCUAUCACAUAUGUUGCAUCAAAUGGCAGAAAUGCAGAGAUCCCUGGAAACAUUUUCAAAUCCAAAAGAUUCUGACUUCAUCAUUCACAGCAAGGGCGGCUCCUUCGGCAGACGUGCCCUGCUGAGCUGCUCCUACGGGGCCCAUCGCAGGUGUUCCCGUUGUCUCCACCCCAAGGUCGUGCAGCAAACCUGCUCUCCAGCAGUCGGGUCCCACCCGUCCCCCUCACGUGUUCCUGAACUACACGCCGAACACCUGCUGGGGGCGGGCCCUUUUCAGGAGGUGGGGAUUCGGUGGCAAACACGGCCCAUUCUCAGGAAUCUUCAAAACGAGUGGGACCCGGAGGGGACCCUCGUAGCCGAGCCCAAGCCCCAGAGCCGCGAACGACAGCAGCCCGCCGCGGUCCCAGCCACGCACGGAGUGGGCAGGCCCGGGAGCAACGCUAAGAGGCCGACAGGACCCGUACACGCGACCACCCGGACGCCAGCUUGAGCUGCUACCAAAUGUCUACGACCCUGG
rnacentral:lncRNA from 1 species